rnacentral:rRNA from 1 species
CCUACGGGAGGCAGCAGUGAGGAAUAUUGGUCAAUGGGCGUAAGCCUGAACCAGCCAAGUCGCGUGCGGGAUGAAGGUUCUAUGGAUCGUAAACCUCUUUUAUAAGGGACUAAAGUGCGGGACGUGUCCCGUUUUGUAUGUAUCUUAUGAAUAAGGAUCGGCUAACUCCGUGCCAGCAGCCGCGGUAAUACGGAGGAUCCGAGCGUUAUCCGGAUUUAUUGGGUUUAAAGGGUGCGUAGGCGGCCUUAUAAGUCAGCGGUGAAAGUCCGUGGCUCAACCAUGGAAUUGCCGUUGAUACUGGGAGGCUAGAGUAUGUUUGCGGCAGGCGGAAUGCGUGGUGUAGCGGUGAAAUGCUUAGAUAUCACACAGAACCCCGAUUGCGAAGGCAGCUUACCAAGCCAUGACUGACGCUGAUGCACGAAAGCGUGGGGAUCAAACAGGAUUAGAUACCCCUGUAGUC